UGGUGCAAUAUUAGAGAUGACAUUGGAUUGGCACUCAAAAUAUGUCAUCGAGGAUCCUAAGUGCACAAUUGGAUCAUGUUAACCUCAUUCCACCUGGCUUUCAUCUAAAAACCAAGAAUGAUCUAGAGAAAAAGCCAAUCGGAUGGCUAAAGUAGAGUCGGUGAACUGAGGCUUAUGAAGAGCCCUUGAGAUCAGGGUUUGAGGUUGCCAUUUGAUAUAAAAGGAGCAAAAUGGGAAAGCCGAGGGUUGAGAGGUAGAGAGCAUAGAUAGGUUGGCGGCUGAGUAGAAAGCAAGAAACAAGGAGAAAGAAAGAAAACUAAGGGAAAGCAGGAGAAGAGGUCCUUCAAUUGAGGGAGGAAUCGAGAUAAAAGAGUGGAAGAGAGAGUUACGGGCUGGGCAGGAGAAAACAGUGAAAGAAAAACUGGAGGGCGGCGGGACUUGGAGAUAGACCGAGAGCUGGGAGAGGAGUAAGGAGAGAAACGAAAAGGCCAAGCAAGGAGUAAGAGAGAGGAAUCUGGUGUUUUUCUUUAAGGAUCAAGAAGCUACUGGAACGGCUGACCGAAGCGAGAAGCUGCUACCACUUCAUUCUGCCAUCAUCAGUUGUGAAUCUCCAACGAAAGAGAGAUCACUGCACGUCUAGAAUAAUGAAAGGACUAAGAAGUGGUCGAGGCUGUGGGCGAGGGACUAGACAGGCCCAACCACAUGGGGAUGACCAGGGAUCGGCAACCGAGAAGUUAUGACCAGAGAGUGUUGAGAUUGAUGAAACCUUGACCUAUGAGGAGAAACUGGUAAAACUUCUGGAUCGAAAGGUGAAGGAAUUGAGGAACAAGCUGAUACCACUAGUAAAAGUUCUUUGGAAGAACCACGGAGUAGAGAAAGCAACCUGGGAAGUAGAAGAGACGAUCAGAGAGAAGUAUCCAAACUUAUUCACCAAUCAAUGUAAAUUUUGAGGAUGAAAUUUUCUUAAGGGGGAGAGGAUGUGAGAAUUCACAAAAUUCAUUUAUUUUAAAAACCCUAUUUCGAGGUUAUUUAAUCAUGUAAUUGUCCAUUUAUUCCGAAUA